rnacentral:rRNA from 1 species
AACGAACGCUGGCGGCAGGCUUAACACAUGCAAGUCGAACGCCCCGCAAGGGGAGUGGCAGACGGGUGAGUAACGCGUGGGAACGUACCUUUCGCUUCGGAAUAUUCCCGGGAAACUGGGAGCAAUGCCGAAUACGCCGUAUUGGGAAAGAUUUAUCGGCGAAAGAUCGGCCCGCGUUAGAUUAGGUAGUUGGCGGUGUAAUGGACCACCAAGCCUACGAUCUAUAGCUGGUCUGAGAGGAUGAUCAGCCACACUGGGACUGAGACACGGCCCAGACUCCUACGGGAGGCAGCAGUGGGGAAUCUUGGACAAUGGGCGCAAGCCUGAUCCAGCCAUGCCGCGUGAGUGAAGAAGGCCUUAGGGUUGUAAAACUCUUUCGCCGGAGAAGAUAAUGACGGUAUCCGGAGAAGAAGCCCCGGCUAAGUUCGUGCCAGCAGCCGCGGUAACAC